AGAGUUUGAUCCUGGCUCAGAUUGAACGCUGGCGGUAUGCUUAACACAUGCAAGUCGAACGGAAACGAUACUAGCUUGCUAGUAGGCGUCGAGUGGCGGACGGGUGAGUAACGCGUAGGAAUCUACCUGAUAGUGGGGGAUAGCCCGAAGAAAUUCGGAUUAAUACCGCAUAAUCUAUUCGUAGUAAAGUGGGGGACUUUCGAGCCUCACGCUAUCAGAUGAGCCUGCGUAAGAUUAGCUAGUUGGUAGGGUAAAAGCCUACCAAGGCGACGAUCUUUAGCUGGUCUGAGAGGAUGAUCAGCCACAUCGGGACUGAGACACGGCCCGAACUCCUACGGGAGGCAGCAGUGGGGAAUAUUGGACAAUGGGGGCAACCCUGAUCCAGCAAUACCGCGUGUGUGAAGAAGGCCUGAGGGUUGUAAAGCACUUUCAAUUGUGAAGAAAAGCUAGUGGUUAAUAGCCAUUAGCCUUGACGUUAACUUUAGAAGAAGCACCGGCUAACUCCGUGCCAGCAGCCGCGGUAAUACGGAGGGUGCAAGCGUUAAUCGGAAUUACUGGGCGUAAAGCGUGCGUAGGCGGUUUAUUAAGUCAGAUGUGAAAGCCCCGGGCUUAACCUGGGAACUGCAUUUGAAACUGGUCAACUAGAGUAUGGUAGAGGAAAGUGGAAUUUCUGGUGUAGCGGUGAAAUGCGUAGAUAUCAGAAGGAACAUCAAUGGCGAAGGCAACUUUCUGGACCAAUACUGACGCUGAGGUACGAAAGCGUGGGUAGCAAACAGGAUUAGAUACCCUGGUAGUCCACGCCGUAAACGAUGAUAACUAGCCGUUGGGGGGAUUUACCCCUUAGUGGCGAAGCUAACGCGUUAAGUUAUCCGCCUGGGGAGUACGGCCGCAAGGUUAAAACUCAAAGGAAUUGACGGGGACCCGCACAAGCGGUGGAGCAUGUGGUUUAAUUCGAUGCAAC
rnacentral:rRNA from 1 species